GAUGAACGCUGGCGGCGUGCCUAAUACAUGCAAGUCGAGCGAACAGACGAGGAGCUUGCUCCUCUGACGUUAGCGGCGGACGGGUGAGUAACACGUGGAUAACCUACCUAUAAGACUGGGAUAACUUCGGGAAACCGGAUCUAAUACCGGAUAAUAUAUUGAACCGCAUGGUUCAAUAGUGAAAGACGGUUUUGCUGUCACUUAUAGAUGUAUCCGCGCCGCAUUAGCUAGUUGGUAAGGUAACGGCUUACCAAGGCAACGAUGCGUAGCCGACCUGAGAGGGUGAGCGGCCACACUGGAACUGAGACACGGUCCAGACUCCUACGGGAGGCAGCAGUAGGGAAUCUUCCGCAAUGGGCGAAAGCCUGACGGAGCAACGCCGCGUGAGUGAUGAAGGUCUUCGGAUCGUAAAACUCUGUUAUUAGGGAAGAACAAAUGUGUAAGUAACUAUGCACGUCUUGACGGUACCUAAUCAGAAAGCCACGGCUAACUACGUG
rnacentral:rRNA from 1 species